AAGUACAUACAUACAUAUAUACCAGUUCUCGUCUGAUCACUGAAGUCAACGUUGAGCACGCGCGCGCGGUUAGUACUUGGAUGGAUGACCGCUUGGGAACACCGUGUGAUGUUGCCUC
rnacentral:rRNA from 1 species